rnacentral:rRNA from 1 species
AACGAACGCUGGCGGCAGGCCUAACACAUGCAAGUCGAGCGCCCCGCAAGGGGCGCGGCGGACGGGUGAGUAACGCGUGGGAAUAUGCCCUUUGCUACGGAAUAGUCUCGGGAAACUGGGGGUAAUACCGUAUACGCCCUUUGGGGGAAAGAUUUAUCGGAGAAGGAUUAGCCCGCGUUGGAUUAGGUAGUUGGUGGGGAAAUGGCCUACCAAGCCGACGAUCCAUAGCUGGUUUGAGAGGAUGAUCAGCCACACUGGGACUGAGACACGGCCCAGACUCCUACGGGAGGCAGCAGUGGGGAAUCUUAGACAAUGGGGGCAACCCUGAUCGAGCCAUGCCGCGUGAGUGAUGAAGGCCUUAGGGUUGUAAAGCUCUUUCAGCUGGGAAGAUAAUGACGGUACCAGCAGAAGAAGCCCCGGCUAACUCCGUG